CCACUGCUGUACUCACUGUUACUUGCUUUAAUGGCGGAUGAAUGUCUACCUCUGAUUGCAGGCAAGGACACGUUCGAGGCCGUGGGGAAGCAGAUUCGCGACCUGGAAGAGAGGCAGGUCCAGCUGAGAGAGCGGAGAGCCGCGCUGGAAUCAUCCCGGGCUGACGCUCACAAGUCCGGGAUACCCGCGAUCCUGAAGGCCGACGAGAGCCCCAGAGCGGUCGUGCUUCACGCCGGGUUUAACGACACCACGCUGCGGCAGACGGAGACGCUGAAGAGGGACUUCAGGAGCCUGAUCGAGACGGUUCGCAGCACGACGCCCGCGGCGACGAUCGUCGUGUCAGGACCACUGCCCACGUAUCGACGAGGACACGAAAGGUUCAGUAGACUUUUUGCUUUAAAUGAAUGGUUGUUGUCAUGGUGUAAAGAACAGAAACUGCUAUUUGUUAAUAACUGGAAUCUUUUCUGGGAGCGUCCUAGACUGUUUCGCGCUGAUGGAUUACACCCCAGCAGAAUUGGAGCGGAGCUUCUCUCUGACAACAUCUCCAGGACACUUCGCUCAAUGUGACUAGACAUUGCUGGCUUUAUAGGAGAAGAUGCCAGACUUUUGUGCAGUCUACAGAUGCUCCAUUCGCCGUCGUCUCAAAACGAGAGCCGUGGAUCACCUUUCACCUGAGCGAGGACUUUGACAGAACGGGGCAGAAUGUGCCAAACAACUUUCCAGCUCUUCUUCAAAGGGUCUGUGUAUCACUGACCAACAAUAAUUCAAAGUGUAUAAGAUUGAUAUAUCAAUGUGUGAUUAAAUGUCACUUUAGUUUUUGUUUCUGCAACACAUCGCUAAAAUGACUAACCUUACCUUCCAGAGCAACAACAUGUGACAGAAGUUCAAUAAAACCAUCCUUUUCAAAGAGCAUUAGCCCUUUUUAUCUCUGUCCUUCACAGUAGUGUAGUUCUCUCUACAGGGAGGGGAUUUCAACAUGCAGCAUUUCUUUAUGUAUAUUUGUAAAGGGGAAUCUUGUACCUAUUUUUAUUUGCAAAUAAAUAUAACUUUUAUAAUAGUUUAUAAAUAUAGACUUUUGUGUAAUCCUUCCAUAUUUUGUGUAUUCAUUCUAUAUCAGAAACCCCUGAA